AUAUAGCUCAAUGGCACAGCAACUGCCUGGUAAGCACAAGGUCCUGAGUUCAAUUCCCAGUAU
rnacentral:tRNA from 1 species